rfam:Clostridium baratii str. Sullivan, complete genome.
AUAUAAGAUAGAGGUCGCAAUAAUAAAGAGUAUUAUUAAUGAGGUAAGCACGAUGAUUUAAUAAAAAAGGUAUUAUUGCCGAAAUAUAUACUUAAUGCUUUAAGAGUAUAUGUUGGGUUUGUAUAUAACAUAUGCAAAACUGCCACAAUACUUAUGUGGUGAGCUAUCUUUGUG